AUGCUUUUCAGCCCUUCUAAACCAGAGUCCCAGCAGCUGCCCCACCCCAUGACCCCGCCAUUUGCCAAGCUUCUAGGACUGGUUCAUUUAUAUUCUUGUUGCCCUUGUAAACUCAGACUUUUUUUGUCUGUGGCCCAGGACAGACACAUCUGCUCAGGGUCCCUCAGGGGUAUCCAUGUCCGCUGCAGUUUAAAGUGUUGGGGUGGGGUUCCCAUCCUUACCAUGCUCUGUUUCUCUUGCCGUUCUCUCUGUGGCCGACCUUUUGGUGUGCAGAAGCCAUUCAGUCAGCCCUCAGUCCUGCAGGAGGAAUUGCUCUUUCCAUGGCCUUCACAUGAAAGUGAUCUGUGUGACAGUCUUCUCCACUGAGCUUAAGCAGGAGACUGAAAUCUCAAACUGUGGCCUCAACAUUGUCAUCUGAAAGCUGGAUGUCUAUUUCCUGAAUUUUUAUACUGAUCUGGAAAAGAAGGCAAGAAGAGCUAGUACUUUGGGCAUCUCUACACAGGUCCAUACCGAACACAUUAAUUUUAAUUAAUUUGUAUAAACUUGUGAUCCAGACAUUAUGGGAGCACUCACCCAGUCCACACUACCCUUUCUAGAAUGUAUCCCUUUCACAGCCCCUUUUGAAGGAAGUGACUCCUUACCACCAGCUGAUGUGGCUUAGGUUGAAUGCAAACACAAGAAGAACCAGCAUGUAGAUGGAGAGAGACUAAUUUCUUUCUUCUGAGAAGUUGCACUUGGAGAUACAGGGGAUGUUAUUCAGAAGAUAGUGGAAGAUUGAAUCGAAGUGUCAGCAAGUAGAGGAAUGUGAAAUCACAUGAAACUCAACAAGAGAGAAAAGAAGGAAGCAGAGAUAAAGGAGAAUCUCAUGCUUUAAAAACACAAAGAAUGUGCACAAGAAUUUUCUGUUCUAGUGUCCGUCCCCAGGAGGCUUGGCUUAUUUCAUUUCUUUCCUUAUCCUAAAACUAAAUUCACCUUAACUUAAACUGGCUUAAAUGGGCUUUAUCCCUUGCAACCAGUGAUGCUAUGCUGAUACGUUAAUUUCUAGAAAGGUCUGUGGCUGAAGAUAACCAGUUUCUCCUCCCUUAACCAGUCUGUGUGUGUUCAGACAUGGCUUGAAUGUCUAUCAGUGAACUCGUGGCUCCUCCAAAUUAGCAACAUCAUUUCUAAUGGCCAGUCCUCACACAUUUAAAUUGACAACAGCCAUGGAAGCUAAUUUUCCAGAAUCAGGCAAACUCUCAUCCCAUUUCUCCCUUGCAAAUACGAAAUUCAAGCAGCAUCUUGCAGAAACAGCCAGGAGCAGGUUAUUGCAUCUGGGCUUUUGGGACUCAGAGUGCCAAUUUCCCAGCACUGAUAGGUGAGGUCUUUGAAGCUCCCUU
rnacentral:lncRNA from 1 species